rnacentral:tRNA from 1 species
GCUGGAGUGGUGAAAUUGGUAGACGCACUGGAUUCAAAAUCCAGCGGGGGCAACCUCAUGAGAGUUCGAUUCUCUCCUCCAGCA